GGUGUGACAUCUGCCACUCCUUCUGUCCUUGCACCAAGCAGUCCUAGGAGUUCAGACUUCGCAAGCACCCGAUGGAGCUCAUCAUGAAUCCUUGGGAUCUUACUGCACCCUGUCUCAUCGACUGGAGCUGCUGAGCAGUGCCCGGACGGAACACUCCAGCAGACACAGGGACUCCUCUCAAAAGAUGAGGAUAAGGAGAAGACCCCCAGACAGGAAGGAGGGGAAAACAUUCUAGAAGUCUGUUUAGAAGAGGGCAGCUUCCCUCCGUGGAACCAAGUGAGACCCUCUGCCUUGAAGCUGGAGUUCAUGGAGAUCCCAGGACAGCAACAACACUAUCAGGAGCUUCUAGUGCUUCAAAACUGCCUGAAAAGGUGUGCUAGAACAAUAGGAACAGAUUGCCUUUGACAGCAUACUAUGCCAGAAAGGAAGCUGGCUAUUGGUUAAAUGAAUUUACUGUAUCCUGCAAAACUUUGUAAAAUGUGAACUACAGGGGGAUGCAAUUUGCUGUAAAAAUUGUGUUUAGAAUGGGGAGGUUAAAAAAAAAAGAGGAAAUUGUUCUUAUUUUAAGAAUAAAGAGCAAAAGAGUUUCUCUCUCUCUUUCCUGCAAGAUAUUUUUAAAAUAGGUGCAUCUUUUAAACAUGGUAGGGUAUUGGCUCUGUAGCAAUUUCUUAAUUCAGCUACACAGUCCUUUUGAAUCAGGGAAAUGAAUAUCCAGUUUCUGGCAAGGCAAUGUCAUAACUACUGAGGAAUUGCUCAAUAACCUGGGGUAGAAAGUAGUGGUAAUAUUACACAGUCAGGAAGAAGUUUCUUUUAGGCAUUCUGUUUCCACAGCACUAAGACUCAGCUUUGUGGUAGGGACAAUCUUGACCUUCAGACCUUGUUAUAGUGGCAAUUCAUGGUCACUGUGCAUGAGCAAUUUUGAGAGUGACUCUUACCGGCUAGUGGUUUUGGCUGAUUUGUGAGUCUUCCCUUCCUUUUUGUUAAAAUACCCGAAUUCAAAAGGAGAAACUGAGCCAGAUCAAACCAAACAUUUUGAGUUUUUUGAUUUGCUGAAUUUUUUUUUUUGACUUGAACCUAAACUUUUUUUUAUAGGGGUUGCUAGUGAACUGAAAGACAUUACCCAGCUGUAGUGUAGUUCUAUGCUAAAUAACUUUUGUAUUGAGGAGAUUGAAUGCUCCUGAUUCCCUUUAGUGCUUUCUUGUACUAUUGGGAUAAAGGUGACAUAACUGUGGAAUGAUCUGUCUGGACAUCAGGUGGGUUGCUAACCACGUUCUUUGUGUGUAUCUGUAUUGAGGAAUUCAAAACAAAGCAUUAAUGUUGGUUUUGGAAAACACACUCUAGCCUACCCUCCAGAGUUGAAGAUAAUUGAGUGAUGAAAGAAAGAAAGAAAUGGCUGAAGCAGAUUUAAGUAGCCGAGCAACUUUCACUCUUGACUGCUAGGAAGAGCAAGUCGCAUACCAGCAAAAUCACUUAAUGCUCUGAAUGAUUCAUUAAGAAACACACACAUCAGGAAUAUUGGUGUAAUCUCAUAUAUGCUGCUAAUUCAAGAAUCUCCAUUUGUGGGGGCAGAUAAUCAAGAAACUUUCCUCAAUAUCUCUCAAAUCAAUGUGGAUUAUUCAGAGGAAACUUUUGCAUCAGUUUCAUACUUGGCCAGAGACUUCAUUCAAAAACUUCUUGUCAAAAACCCAGAGUAGGUAGCAGAUUCUUCGGUGCAUCUUUCUGUUUGUUUAUAAGCAUCUGGCAAAGCAGGGCCUUGAUCCUGAUUGAGGAUUUUGGGUGCUACUGUAAUAUAAAUGUGAUAAGACCAGUUAUCAUUUAACAUAACAAUGUUGGUUUUCAUAUGGAUAAAUUCUAUGUAGUGUAAAUAUUUAGAAUGGGCUGGAUUCAAAUAGAAAAUCUGACUUGACUAGUGAGAUCCCAAUAAUGGAAAUUCUGUUUAAAUGUUGAACUGUAAAAUUAUCAGAUAGUCUGACUUUAUAUCAGAUUAACUGGUGGUAAUGUCCAUUUGUAACUGAUUUUUCCGCUUAGUAAGAUGCAAUUUGCUUAAAAGCAGUUUUAUGU